AGAAUCAACGCUGGCGGCGUGCCUAACACAUGCAAGUCGAACGAGAAAGGGUAGCAAUACCUGAGUAAAGUGGCGCACGGGUGAGUAACACGUGACUAACCUACCCUGGAGUGGGGGAUAACUGAGGGAAACCUUAGCUAAUACCGCAUAACACCUACGGGUCAAAGGAGCAAUUCGCUUCAGGAGGGGUCGCGGCCGAUUAGUUAGUUGGCGGGGUAAUGGCCCACCAAUACAGUGAUCGGUAU
rnacentral:rRNA from 1 species